CGAAUGCUUGCAUCAACCGUAAAAAAGUUGAGUGGCGGACGGGUGAGUAACACGGUGGGUAACCUGACCUAAAAGGAAGGGGAUAACACUUGGAAACAGGUGCUAAUACCGUAUAUCUCUAAGGACCGCAUGAUCCUUAGAUGAAAGAUGGUUCUGCUAUCGUCUUUUAGAUCGGACCCGCGGCGUAUUAACUAGUUGGUGGGGUAAUGGCCUACCAAGGUGAUGAUACGUAGCCGAACUGAGAGGUUGAUCGGCCACAUUGGGACUGAGACACGGCCCAAACUCCUACGGGAGGCAGCAGUAGGGAAUCUUCCACAAUGGACGCAAGUCUGAUGGAGCAACGCCGCGUGAGUGAAGAAGGUCUUCGGAUCGUAAAACUCUGUUGUUAGAGAAGAACACGAGUGAGAGUAACUGUUCAUUCGAUGACGGUAUCUAACCAGCAAGUCACGGCUAACUACGUGCC
rnacentral:rRNA from 1 species